rnacentral:rRNA from 1 species
UACGUAGGGUGCAAGCGUCAAUCGGAAUUACUGGGCGUAAAGCGUGCGCAGGCGGUUAUGCAAGUCAGAUGUGAAAUCCCCGGGCUCAACCUGGGAACUGCAUUUGUGACUGCAUGGCUAGAGUACGGUAGAGGGGGAUGGAAUUCCGCGUGUAGCAGUGAAAUGCGUAGAUAUGCGGAGGAACACCGAUGGCGAAGGCAAUCCCCUGGACCUGUACUGACGCUCAUGCACGAAAGCGUGGGGAGCAAACAGG